rnacentral:rRNA from 1 species
AGCGGUGGAAUGCGCAGAUAUCAGGAGGAACACCGAUGGCGAAGGCAGAUCUCUGGGCCGUAACUGACGCUGAGGAGCGAAAGGGUGGGGAGCAAACAGGCUUAGAUACCCUGGUAGUCCACCCCGUAAACGUUGGGAACUAGUUGUGGGGUCCAUUCCACGGAUUCCGUGACGCAGCUAACGCAUUAAGUUCCCCGCCUGGGGAGUACGGCCGCAAGGCUAAAACUCAAAGGAAUUGACGGGGACCCGCACAAGCGGCGGAGCAUGCGGAUUAAUUCGAUGCAACGCGAAGAACCUUACCAAGGCUUGACAUAUACGAGAACGGGCCAGAAAUGGUCAACUCUUUGGACACUCGUAAACAGGUGGUGCAUGGUUGUCGUCAGCUCGUGUCGUGAGAUGUUGGGUUAAGUCCCGCAACGAGCGCAACCCUCGUUCUAUGUUGCCAGCACGUAAUGGUGGGAACUCAUGGGAUACUGCCGGGGUCAACUCGGAGGAAGGUGGGGAUGACGUCAAAUCAUCAUGCCCCUUAUGUCUUGGGCUUCACGCAUGCUACAAUGGCCGGUACAAAGGGCUGCAAUACCGCGAGGUGGAGCGAAUCCCAAAAAGCCGGUCCCAGUUCGGAUUGAGGUCUGCAACUCGACCUCAUGAAGUCGGAGUCGCUAGUAAUCGCAGAUCAGCAACGCUGCGGUGAAUACGUUCCCGGGUCUUGUACACACCGCCCGUCAAGUCAUGAAAGUCGGUAACACCUGAAGCCGGUGGCCUAACCCUUGUGGAGGAGC